GAAAGCCUGACGGAGCGACGCCGCGUGAACGAAGAAGGCCGUGAGGUUGUAAAGUUCUUUUCGGGAGGGGGAAUGACCGUGGCAGGGAAUGGCCGCGGGAUGACGUGAAUCCCGGAAUAAGCCCCGGCUAACUACGUGCCAGCAGCCGCGGUAACACGUAGGGGGCGAGCGUUGUUCGGAAUCAUUGGGCGUAAAGGGCGUGCAGGCGGCACUGCAAGUCCGGCGUGAAAGACCCCGGCCCAACCGGGGGGGUGCGCUGGAAACUGCGGUGCUUGAGUACAGGAGGGGAUGCCGGAAUUCCAGGUGUAGGGGUGAAAUCUGUAGAUAUCUGGAAGAACACCGAUGGCGAAGGCAGGCAUCUGGCCAUGUACUGACGCUGAGACGCGAAGGUGCGGGGAGCAAACAGGUUUAGAUACCCUGGUAGUCC
rnacentral:rRNA from 1 species